rnacentral:rRNA from 1 species
GAUGAACGCUGGCGGCGUGCCUAAUACAUGCAAGUCGAGCGAACGGACGAGAAGCUUGCUUCUCUGAUGUUAGCGGCGGACGGGUGAGUAACACGUGGAUACCCUACCUAUAAGACUGGGAUAACUUCGGGAAACCGGAGCUAAUACCGGAUAAUAUUUUGAACCGCAUGGUUCAAAAGUGAAAGACGGUCUUGCUGUCACUUAUAGCUGGAUCCGCGCUGCAUUAGCUAGUUGGUAAGGUAACGGCUUACCAAGGCAACGAUGCAUAGCCGACCUGAGAGGGUGAUCGGCCACACUGGAACGGAGACACGGUCCAGACUCCUACGGGAGGCAGCAGUAGGGAAUCUUCCGCAAUGGGCGAAAGCCUGACGGAGCAACGCCGCGUGAGUGAUGAAGGUCUUCGGAUCGUAAAACUCUGUUAUUAGGGAAGAACAUAUGUGUAAGUAACUGUGCACAUCUUGACGGUACCUAAUCAGAAAGCCACGGCUAACUACGUG